UAUUGCACAAUGGGGGAAACCCUGAUGCAGCGACGCCGCGUGGGCGAAGAAGUAUUUCGGUAUGUAAAGCCCUAUCAGCAGGGAAGAAGAAAUGACGGUACCUGAGUAAGAAGCCCCGGCUAACUACGUGCCAGCAGCCGCGGUAAUACGUAGGGGGCAAGCGUUAUCCGGAUUUACUGGGUGUAAAGGGAGCGUAGACGGUGAUGCAAGUCAGAAGUGAAAGCCCGGGGCUCAACUCCGGGACUGCUUUUGAAACUGUGUGACUGGAGUGCAGGAGAGGUAAGCGGAAUUCCUGGUGUAGCGGUGAAAUGCGUAGAUAUUAGGAGGAACACCAGUGGCGAAGGCGGCUUACUGGACUGUAGCUGACACUGAGGCUCGAAAGCGUGGGGAGCAAACAGG
rnacentral:rRNA from 1 species